rnacentral:rRNA from 1 species
GACGAACGCUGGCGGCGUGCUUAACACAUGCAAGUCGAACGAUGAAGAAGAGAAACGCGAACUUCGGUUCAAAUUUCACUUCGGAUUAGUGGCAGACGGGUGAGUAACGCGUGAGCAACCUACCUCUUACAAAGGGAUAGCCUCGGGAAACCGUGAUUAAUACCAUAUGACACAUUCAUAAGGCAUCUUAAGAAUGUUAAAGCUACGGCGGUAAGAGAUGGGCUCGCGUCCCAUUAGCUAGUUGGUGAGGUAACGGCCCACCAAGGCGACGAUGGGUAACCGGCCUGAGAGGGUGAACGGUCACAUUGGAACUGAGACACGGUCCAAACUCCUACGGGAGGCAGCAGUGGGGAAUAUUGCACAAUGGAGGGAACUCUGAUGCAGCGACGCCGCGUGAGCGAUGAAGGAAUUCGUUUCGUAAAGCUCUGUUCUAUGGGAAGAAAAGGACUGUACCACAGGAGAAAGCCCCGGCUAAAUACGUG